rnacentral:misc_RNA from 1 species
GGGAUGAAGAACGCAGCGAAAUGCGAUAACUAAUGUGAAUUGCAGAAUUCAGUGAAUCAUCGAGUCUUUGAACGCACAUUGCGCCCCCUGGUAUUCCGGGGGGCAUGCCUGUCCGAGCGUCAUUGCUGCCCUCAAGCACGGCUUGUGUGUUGGGCUCCGUCCCCCCGGGGACGGGCCCAAAAGGCAGCGGCGGCACCGAGUCCGGUCCUCGAGCGUAUGGGGCUUUGUCACCCGCUCUGUAGGCCCGGCCGGCGCCAGCCGACAACCCAUCAUCCUUUUCAGGUUGACCUCGGAUCAGGUAGGGAUACCCGCUGAACUUAAGCAUAUCAAUAAGCGGAGGA